rnacentral:rRNA from 1 species
CUGGGCGUAAAGGGUGCGUAGGCGGUCUUUCAAGUCAGGAGUGAAAGGCUACGGCUCAACCGUAGUAAGCUCUUGAAACUGGGAGACUUGAGUGCAGGAGAGGAGAGUGGAAUUCCUAGUGUAGCGGUGAAAUGCGUAGAUAUUAGGAGGAACACCAGUUGCGAAGGCGGCUCUCUGGACUGUAACUGACGCUGAGGCACGAAAGCGUGGGGAGCAAACAGGAUUAGAUACCCUGGUAGUCCACGCUGUAAACGAUGAG